CCACGGCUAACGAGCUCCACCUGCCCGGGUUUGUUUAGAGUUUGCUCUCCUAGGUGAACUGCCUACCACGGCUAACGAGCUCCACCUGCCCGGGUUUGUUGUUCGGAGUUUGCUCUCCUAGGUGAACUGCCUACCACGGCUAACGAGCUCCACCUGCCCGGGUUUGUUGUUCGGAGUUUGCUCUCCUAGGUGAACUGCCUACCACGGCUAACGACCUCCACCUGCCCGGGUUUGUUGUUCGGAGUUUGCUCUCCUAGGUGAACUGCCUACCACGGCUAACGAGCCUCACCUGCCCGGGUUUGUUGUUCGGAGUUUGCUCUCCUAGGUGAACUGCCUACCACGGCUAACGAGCCUCACCUGCCCGGGUUUGUUGUUCGGAGUUUGCUCUCCUAGGUGAACUGCCUACCACGGCUAACGAGCCUCACCUGCCCGGGUUUGUUUAGAGUUUGCUCUCCUAGGUGAACUGCCUACCACGGCUAACGACCUCCACCUGCCCGGGUAUGUUGUUCGGAGUUUGCUCUCCUAGGUGAAUUGCCUACCACGGCUAACGAGCCUCACCUGCCCGGGUUUGUUGUUCGGAGUUUGCUCUCCUAGGUGGAUUGCCUACCACGGCUAACGAGCCUCACCUGCCCGGGUUUGUUGUUCG